rnacentral:rRNA from 1 species
GCCAGCAGCCGCGGUAAUUCCAGCUCCAAUAGCGUAUAUUAAAGUUGUUGCAGUUAAAAAGCUCGUAGUUGGAUCUCGGGUCCGGGCUCGCGGUCCACCUCGCGGUGGUUACUGCCCGUCCCGACCUACCUACCGGUUUUCCCUUGGUGCUCUUAACUGAGUGUCUCGGGUGGCCGGAACGUUUACUUUGAAAAAAUUAGAGUGUUCAAAGCAGGCGCUUCGCCUGAAUAAUGUUGCAUGGAAUAAUGGAAUAGGACCUCGGUUCUAUUUUGUUGGUUUUCGGAACUCGAGGUAAUGAUUAAGAGGGACAGACGGGGGCAUUCGUAUGAUGGUGUUAGAGGUGAAAUUCUUGGAUCGCCGUCAGACGAACUACUGCGAAAGCAUUUGCCAAGAAUGUUUUCAUUAAUCAAGAACGAAAGUCAGAGGUUCGAAGACGAUCAGAUACCGUCCUAGUUCUGACCAUAAACGAUGCCGACUAGCAAUCCGCCGGAGUUGUUUCAAUGACCCGGCGGGCAGCUUCCGGGAAACCAAAGUCUUUGGGUUCCGGGGGAAGUAUGGUUGCAAAGCUGAAACUUAAAGGAAUUGACGGAAGGGCACCACCAGGAGUGGAGCCUGCGGCUUAAUUUGACUCAACACGGGAAAGCUUACCCGGCCCGGACACCGUAAGGAUUGACAGAUUGAGAGCUCUUUCUUGAUUCGGUGGGUGGUGGUGCAUGGCCGUUCUUAGUUGGUGGAGCGAUUUGUCUGGUUAAUUCCGAUAACGAACGAGACUCUAGCCUAUUAAAUAGUUCGCCGAUUUCGAUCUGUCGGCGUUAACUUCUUAGAGGGACAAGUGGCUUUUAGCCACGCGAGAUUGAGCAAUAACAGGUCUGUGAUGCCCAAG